rnacentral:rRNA from 1 species
UACAGAGGGUGCAAGCGUUAAUCGGAAUUACUGGGCGUAAAGCGUGCGUAGACGGUUACGUAAGUCGGGUGUGAAAGCCCCGGGCUCAACCUGGGAAUUGCAUUCGAGACUGCAUAGCUAGGGUGCGGAAGAGGGAAGCGGAAUUUCCGGUGUAGCGGUGAAAUGCGUAGAUAUCGGAAGGAACACCAGUGGCGAAGGCGACUCACUGGACACGUAUUGACGCUGAGGUGCGAAAGCGUGGGGAGCAAACAGG